rnacentral:lncRNA from 1 species
UCCCUGACCAAAACUCUGGUGCUUCUGAAUUGUUAAAGACAGGGUUGCAACUUAAAAUUUGGAAAUAAGUACAGGGCCAGAAGAAUGGAAGUAAACCUCCCCCUUAUAAAUAAGAAGAGUCAUUCAGAAAUAGAGUGUUGCAAUGAAGUCCCUGACUCUGAAGACUGACUGUGGAGUUCAAAUCCCAGCUGCACUGCUUACUGGCUAUGUAGAAGUCCUUCUGCCUCUAUAUAUUUUCCUUAUGUGUAAAAUAAUAAUAAUAAUAACUAUUAUAGUGUUGUGAGGAUUUAUACAAUUCUCAUGUAAAAUAAGAAAGAAAAAUAAACUCAUGCUAA